UACGUAGGGGGCGAGCGUUGUCCGGAUUCAUUGGGCGUAAAGCGCGCGUAGGCGGCUCGACAAGUCGGCCGUGAAAUCUCCAGGCUCAACUUGGAGGGGUCGGGCGAGACUGGUCGGGCUCGAGGUGGGCAGAGGGCAGGUGGAAUUCCGGGGUGUAGUGGUGGAAUGGCGUAGAGAGUCCGGAGGAACACCAGUGGCGAAGGCGGCUGCCUGGGCCUGGCCUGACGCUGAGGCGCG
rnacentral:rRNA from 1 species